GAAAAAACAUGACAAAUAUUCCGGCACUCUGGCAUGGUUCACAGCUUUGGCAAGGUUUACUUAACAUAGAGAAGUCCCCAUCUUCACCAGAGCUGAUAUGUGAACCCAUGCAUGGGGAUCAGGUAUGGAAAGAGAAGCUCACUGAUCAUCGGAGCAGAGGCAGAGCCUUCAUGAUAAAGAGAAAAUGAAGAAAGAACAUUGUGAUGGUCUAGUGUCAGAACCAUUGACAGCACCAAGUGGAAAAGUA